CCGAGCAUAACUGCCUCAUUGAGUUCCCCAUUCUCUCCGUCUGUCGUGCCGUCUCCGUCCUCCAAAACAUCGCCGCCACUGUCGUCACAAGAGCUUCUUGAUUUGAGCUUACGAUAGGUUUUGAAGUAUUUCUUUGUGGUAACAAGAGCUUCUUGAUUCAGGAUCUCCGUAAGUGAUUUCAAUGCUAGGGAACUCUUAUCCCAAUGCUGGUGGUCCACUUUUACAAAGCCAUGUUAUGGGUAUGUUGAAUGAUGUAAACUCGAGUGAUAAUUCUCCUUUUGACAUGAAUGACUUCCCUCAACUGACUAGUCGACCUAGGUCUGCUGGAGGGCCUCAAGGACAAUUGGGUGCAAACGAAGAUUUCCCAGCUUUGCCAGGAUUUAAAGGUGGCAAUGCUGAUUAUGCUAUGGAUAUGCACCAGAAAGAAUAGCUUCAUGACAAUGCUGUACCAAUGAUGCAAUCUUAACAUUUCUCGAUGGGGAGGCCUGCUGGUUUUAGCUUGGGGGAACAUAUUCAUCACAUCGUACAACAACAUGCUCCUUCGGUGAGUAGUGGUGGAGUCUCAUUUUCAUCUAUAAAUAACCAGGUUCUUCUCCAUCUACAUGGAUAAGAUAUUUUUCCAUCUACGCAUUCAACUUAUCAUUUGCAAGUGGACCUCCUGGGUCGGAUUAAGGCCAUUAAAUUCUCCAAAUACAGUCUCUAGUAUGGGUCAGUAUGACCAAAUCCUCCAGCAGUAUCAAUAGAACUAGAAGCAGUCGCAGUUCUACCUUCAAAUGUCAACCGUAAAUCAGUCAUUUUGGGAUCAGGGCAUGAAAGCUAUGCAAACUACACAAUCCACACCAUAUCCAUUUGGUUUGCUUGGCUUGUUAAGUGUGAUCAGGAUGAGUGAUCCAGACUUGACAUCUCUUGCACUUGGAAUUGAUCUUACUACACUUGGAUUAAAUUUGAAUUCAUCUGAAAAUCUACACAAGACAUUUGGGUCUCUAUGGUCCGAUGAACCUGCAAAGGGUGAUCUAGAGUUUAAUGUGCCACAAUUUUAUUACGCAAAGCAGCCCCCUGCUUACAUGUGUGGUUUUUUAAUUAUGCUAUAGAAUCAAUUUCUUUAUUUGCAAAUCCUUCAUUAGGCUUACUGCUUAUUGCAUGAUGCAGCAAGGUUACUUUUCAAAGUUUUUGGUGGAAACAUUGUUUUACAUAUUCUAUAGGUUUGCAAUUACAUCUUACUUGAUUUCUAAUUGGCUUGCUUAGUGUUAUAAUUAACCACUUUUUUUUCCUUGGUUGCAACAUGCCCAAAGACGAAGCACAAUUAUAUGCUGCAAAUUAAAUGAGCUGCACAAUAGAGGAUGUUAUUAUCACAAAGAGAAUCGUUUCUGGUUUAUAAGAGUUCCCAACAUGGAGCCGCUUGUUAAAACGAACACAUACGAGAGAGGAUCUUAUCACUGUUUCGAUCCAAACACAUUUGAAACUGUUCACAAGGAUAACUUUGUUCUACAUUAUGAAAUAUUGGAAAAGAGACCGCCUCUACCACAGCAUCGAGUAGGAAUCAGAACCUUAUUGUAGAGUUUCAACUGUAAAUUUUCAUUCUGGAUUUUAAUUCCUCAGAAUGUCAUUAGCAUAAGUAUUCCUUUAGUUUGGGCUUUCUCGUACUAUAUGUCGCUUGAGUGAUCCAAGCAUUUCUUCUUUAACUAUCCUAAUUUGAACAAAAGAAUUAUGAUACGUAGGUAUUCGAUAACCUAGUUAUCUGACAGAUUUUCUCUGCCCCCUAGCUCCAA